rnacentral:rRNA from 1 species
GCUGGCGGCGUGCCUAACACAUGCAAGUCGAACGAGAAAGUGGAGCAAUCCAUGAGUAAAGUGGCGACCGGGUGAGUAACACGUGACCAAUCUACCCUCGAGUGGGGGAUAACUCCGGGAAACCGGGGCUAAUACCGCAUAAUAUCUUCGGAACGGAAGUUCUGUUGAUCAAAGGAGCAAUUCGCUUGAGGAGGAGGUCGCGGCUGAUUAGCUAGUUGGCGGGGUAAUGGCCCACCAAGGCUUUGAUCGGUAGCCGGCCUGAGAGGGCGCACGGCCACACUGGAACUGAAACACGGUCCAGACUCCUACGGGAGGCAGCAGUGGGGAAUUUUGCGCAAUGGGGGAAACCCUGACGCAGCAACGCCGCGUGGAGGAUGAAGUCCCUUGGGACGUAAACUCCUUUCGACCGGGACGAUAAUGACGGUACCGGUGGAAGAAGCCCCGGCUAACUUCGUGCCAGCAGCCGCGGUAAUACGAGGGGGGCAAGCGUUGUUCGGAAUUAUUGGGCGUAAAGGGCGCGUAGGCGGUGCGGUAAGUCACCUGUGAAAUCUCCGGGCUUAACUC